GAGCCGUCAUUCCUUCUCUUCAUUCUCCUUCUUUCUUACUCACUCCUCACAUCCCAUUUCCCUUCCCGCACAGCAGCACCGGAACCCCUCUCCUCCUUCUUUCUCUCUUUCUCACUUCUCCCCUGCGCCACCAGUGAUCGAGCGCACCUCACCACCAGCCGCUGCACGGCCACAGCAGCACCCCUCCUUCUCCUUUCCCAAACCAGCAGCCGCCCUCGCAACAGCAGCAAGGGCUACGUCUCCUUCACUUCAGCAGCCACGGUCGAGCCCUCCACGAGCAGCCUGCACCGCCGGCUACACCUCCUCCCCCGCAGCCGACAAUAGCCACCAACAGCACGUGGUGACUCCCUGUAGCCGCCCGCAAACAGCCACGGAGAUAGCCGUUUUGGCCCUGUGCCACCUCCACACAACCUCCACUUACUUCUUCACUCCUUUUAUAAUUACCCCAUUGUUCUUAGUUUAUAAGAGGAAAGUAGACCCCUUAGUUGGGUGGUUUUUGUAACUUGUGGUCGUGCAUUGACGCUUGCAGCAGGAGGAUCAUAGCUUGACAUGACAGGUAUAGGAGCUUCUUUUGCUUUGCAUUGGGGAAAAGAGCGGAGUACGAUCGUAACAAUUGUGUAUAAAUUGUCUAAAUGCUUGUAGCUUCUAUAAUACUUGUAAAGUUUUCUUUUGGGGUUGUAAAAAUUUAUUUUGUAUGGAGCCAUGUGACUCCUCGUAUGAUCCAUAGAUCCGCUGCGUAGUUUUGGAUGUACAGUAGGGAGAAUACUCCUUUAGUAUCCGUCAGAUUGAUGUUUUGUGAAGCCGACGAUGAUUUAUUCCGUCGUGACGUAUUCUUUUGAAAGACGUUAUAGGCCUUAGAUUAGUUUAAUCAUGUUAAUCAAUUAUAACUAUAUAUAUUCUAGUCACAUCCUCAGUUUUCAGUA